GAUGCAUCACAACCCUCAACAAAGCAAUCAUGGAAGAAAAGACGAAGAACAGCCGGAAUUGUGACAAACGUUUGUUUGAAUUUCUGGUUAACAACAUUACGCACAAUGGAUUCAACAUUAGGACAAGUUUGGGCAUAAAAAUUGGUUUUGAGUUGAGCAUCUACCAAGUUUGGCAUGAAAAUACUAACACAAGAAAUUGACAAAAAUGAUGUAAUAAAAACUUGUAAAUAACCCAUAUUUU
rnacentral:misc_RNA from 1 species